rnacentral:rRNA from 1 species
GCAAGUCGAGCGGAAACGAUCCUAGCUUGCUAGGAGGCGUCGAGCGGCGGACGGGUGAGUAAUGCGUAGGAAUUUGCCCAGUAGUGGGGGAUAGCCCGGGGAAACCCGGAUUAAUACCGCAUACGCCCUAAGGGGGAAAGCAGGGGAUCUUCGGACCUUGCGCUAUUGGAUGAGCCUGCGUCGGAUUAGCUAGUUGGUGGGGUAAUGGCCUACCAAGCCUACGAUCUAUAGCUGGUUUGAGAGGAUGAUC